rnacentral:rRNA from 1 species
AUUGAACGCUGGCGGCAUGCUUUACACAUGCAAGUCGAACGGCAGCGCGGGCUUCGGCCUGGCGGCGAGUGGCGAACGGGUGAGUAAUACAUCGGAACGUGCCCAGUCGUGGGGGAUAGCACGGCGAAAGCCGGAUUAAUACCGCAUACGACAUGAGGGUGAAAGCGGGGGAUCUUCGGACCUCGCGCUAUUGGAGCGGCCGAUGGCAGAUUAGCUAGUUGGUGGGGUAAAGGCCUACCAAGGCGACGAUCUGUAGCUGGUCUGAGAGGACGACCAGCCACACUGGGACUGAGACACGGCCCAGACUCCUACGGGAGGCAGCAGUGGGGAAUUUUGGACAAUGGGCGAAAGCCUGAUCCAGCAAUGCCGCGUGUGUGAUGAAGGCCUUCGGGUUGUAAAGCACUUUUGGCGGGAACGAAAAGGACUGUGCCAAUACCACGGUUCGAUGACGGUACCCACAGAAUAAGCACCGGCUAACUACGUG